GUCUCUGUGAGAGCGGAGUGGGCUGAGGCUAUAAUGAGUGGUAUGAAGGGAUGAUGUUGAAGACUGGCUGAGCUCGUCAGGGGUAAACAGUGGGGAGUUUCCUUCAGAUUCUACGAUCCGCUUUUCUGGUUUGUCUCUGUUAGGCAGUCCAUUCUGCUUUGAUCCCGUAGAAGCUAAAAGAGGCUAUAAAAAGCUAAAAAAAAUGAGGUAAAGAGGAUCCAGUGUUGACAAAAGGUUAUAACACAGCUGGAGAUGGGAACAUUGUGCUCAGAUUUGCAAUUCCUAAUAACCUCGCCGGACUCCACAACUGUCCUACUGGCAUGGAUAAUUCAGAAGAGUGAGGAACAUUAAGAGAAUCACUGGAGAGUCUGUGAGGCUUCCACAUCACGCCAGACUGCACUUUAUUUUACAAGAAUUUGAUGCAAUCUGUUCGACCCAUCCUCGUUUAAUGUGGCAUCAACCCUUUACACUUCCCUCCCCACAUAUUGGAAAGCAAAUUACUUAAUUUAGAGAUAUGAGAAACAUCUGAUAGAGAGAAAAGCCAAAUGGAGGACAUCAUAGGAAAUUUAUUUCCAAAAAACAUCAACUUCAACGGCAUUUUCACAUGAUUUCACAAGACUAAUGAUUUUUUAAAAUGAUUUAAUCACGUUUGCACUACUUGGGUGGCAAGUAAAUGCAUAAAUGAAGGGUUGCACUCUAAACUGUGAAACCUGAUCAGCCCACAUGACUGUGAUUCAAAAUGCAUGCACUGCUACACACUUAUUACAACAUAGCCAUGUUUUUCCUGACAUGGUAAUACUUUAGUGUUCUUUAAAGUAUCUCAGAGUACCAUGCAAAU